rnacentral:rRNA from 1 species
CAGCAGCCGCGGGAAUACAGAGGGUGCAAGCGUUAAUCGGAAUUACUGGGCGUAAAGCGCGCGUAGGUGGUUUGUUAAGUUGGAUGUGAAAUCCCCGGGCUCAACCUGGGAACUGCAUCCAAAACUGGCAAGCUAGAGUAUGGUAGAGGGUGGUGGAAUUUCCUGUGUAGCGGUGAAAUGCGUAGAUAUAGGAAGGAACACCAGUGGCGAAGGCGACCACCUGGACUGAUACUGACACUGAGGUGCGAAAGCGUGGGGAGCAAACAGGAUUAGAUACCCGCGUAGUCCCUGUCUCUUAUAA